rnacentral:rRNA from 1 species
UGGGGAAUAUUGGGCAAUGGAUGAAAGUCUGACCCAGCGACGCCGCGUGAAUGAUGAAGGUCUUCGGAUUGUAAAGUUCUUUUUUACGGGAAGAGUGGAAGACGGUACCGUAAGAAUAAGUCCCGGCUAACUACGUGCCAGCAGCCGCGGUAAUACGUAGGGGACGAGCGUUGUCCGGAAUUACUGGGCGUAAAGGGCAUGUAGGCGGUUUUGCAAGUCAGUAGUAAAAUUGUGGGGCUUAACCCCAUCGAGCUAUUGAGACUGCGAGACUGGAGUACUGAAGAGGCAAGGGGAAUUCCCGGUGUAGCGGUGAAAUGCGUAGAUAUCGGGAAGAACACCGGUGGCGAAGGCGACUUGCUGGUCAGUAACUGACGCUGAGGUGCGAAAGCCAGGGUAGCAAACG